UACGUAGGGUCCGAGCGUUGUCCGGAAUCAUUGGGCGUAAAGCGCGCGUAGGCGGCCCGGUAAGUCCGCUGUGAAAGUCCAGGGCUCAACCCUGGAAAGCCGGUGGAUACUGCCGGGCUAGAGUCCGGAAGAGGCGAGUGGAAUUCCUGGUGUAGCGGUGAAAUGCGCAGAUAUCAGGAGGAACACCAAUGGCGAAGGCAGCACUCUGGGACGUGACUGACGCUGAGACGCGAAAGCGUGGGGAGCAAACAGG
rnacentral:rRNA from 1 species